rnacentral:rRNA from 1 species
AGAGUUUGAUCAUGGCUCAGGAUGAACGCUAGCUACAGGCUUAACACAUGCAAGUCGAGGGGCAGCAUGAACUUAGCUUGCUAAGUUUGAUGGCGACCGGCGCACGGGUGCGUAACGCGUAUGCAACCUACCCAUAACAGGGGCAUAACACUGAGAAAUUGGUACUAAUUCCCCAUAACAUUCGAAGAGGCAUCUCUUUGGGUUGAAAACUCCGGUGGUUAUGGAUGGGCAUGCGUUGUAUUAG